GCCAAGAAUCCACGGCCUCCAGUCACUGCGGCUGGUCGCUGGCCUUGCGUGGUCUGGACACGGUGGCGUAGCUACUGCCGGGAGCCCCCUGCACGACCAGCUUCAAAGUCUCUUGUAUUUCCUUACUUCAGAGCCAAACACUGCUCUGGCAGGUUUGGGGUACCAAGACUGCCUGCUGCAUCCUCUCCAUGUCUAAACAGCCUCUGAACUGGGUCCAAAAAAAGGGGGUGCAGACGUGCGUCCCUUCUCUCCCUUCCCACCAUUUAAGAGGUACCGAGGUGCCGGACGUUGCAGUCUGGAAGCUGUCCCGGAGGAUUUGGCAGAGACAGGUCAGGGCUCGACUUCGCUGGCAGUAAAAGAGAAGCGCAAGUGUGGGAAUCAGGUUGGUUUGUUGUUUAAACAAACCAUUGUAAAAUUAUCCAGCACAGUCCUGAGUCAGUUUUGAGGUGGUUUGUGCCUGGGGAGGAGCCGCAGUCUGCCUAGGAGCCUGCCUAACGUCCCUGAUACUGGGACACGGUUUUCUGGGACCUGCCUCCUGCGCUCCCUGAUAAAGGUCUUUACCGCUCUUCGGGGUCACUUGGAGAGGCUUGCAGGGAGGACAAGAAGCCAUUCUACUGAGAGGGAGUCUUGGGCUCAAGGCACUGGUUAGGUCAGGAGGAAAUCUCUGUUUUUAGCUUCAGGUGCAUGGAGAACCCCCGGCAGCUCACAGCGACAUGCACGCAUCCUCCCAGAACAUGCUGCACUUGACUCAAUGAGGCAGGAAGACUGAGAGGCCAACUUGUCCUUGAACACGUGCCAUUCCAGCCGGUCGCCGGCCCACCCCAUCCCAAGGACCUCCCUGUGCCCCUGGGCUCUGUCAGGCGAAGGUAUCAUCAGGUUUGGUUUUUGAUGCUUCAGCCCUGCUGUGAGAUGGCAUCUCUCUUUGCAGCUGGAAAUCCAAGGCUUUAAAAUAUGAAGUCCUGGGGCGCCUGUGUGACUCAGUGGGUUAAAGCCUCUGCCUUUGUUUGGGUCAUGAUCUCAGGGUCCUGGGAUCCUCUGCUCAGCAGGGAGCCUGCUUCCUCCUCUCUCUCUGCCUGCCUCUCUGACUACUUGUGAUCUCUCUGUCUCUGUCAAGUAAAUAAAUAAAA